rnacentral:sRNA from 1 species
CUUUGCUUUGGACUCAGCAUUGCAACCAUGGUGCAGUGCUUUGGCCACAUCAGCGGUGGCCACAUCAACCCUGCAGUGACUGUGGCCAUGUUGUGCACCAGGAAGAUCAGCAUCGCCAAGUCUGUCUUCUACAUCGCAGCCCAGUGCCUGGGGGCCAUCAUUGGAGCAGGAAUCCUCUAUCUGGUCACACCUCCCAGUGUGGUGGGAGGCCUGGGAGUCACCAUGGUUCAUGGAAAUCUUACCGCUGGUCACGGUCUCCUGGUUGAGUUGAUAAUCACAUUUCAAUUGGUGUUUACUAUCUUUGCCAGCUGUGAUUCCAAACGGACUGAUGUCACUGGCUCAAUAGCUUUAGCAAUUGGAUUUUCUGUUGCAAUUGGACAUUUAUUUGCAAUCAAUUAUACUGGUGCCAGCAUGAAUCCCGCCCGAUCCUUUGGACCUGCAGUUAUCAUGGGAAAUUGGGAAAACCAUUGGGUAACCCUCAUAUUGAUACUUCCUAUCUUCCUACAGUUGAGGACAAUUACCUGUGGGGCUCUUUUAUUUUUCAUUAUUUUG